GUAAUAGUUAUGAUCUUGAAACUUAAAAAAUUUGGCGGUAUUUUAGUCUUUUCAGAGGAAUUUGUUCUAUAAUUGAUAAUCCCCGUUGGACCUUACUUAAGUUUGUAUUCAGUUUAUAUACCGUCGUUAUCAGAAUAUUUUAAGAGAAAAAUAAUUUUCAUUAAAUUUAAUAAAAUUUUAUUUCAGAUCAAGGUGUAGCUUAUAUUUAAGUAGAAAUGAAUUACAAUAAAAAUAUUUAAAAAUGAAUAUAAAUAUGAAAAAUUUAUUGAAAGUGGAUUUGAUAGUAAAUUUAUAAAGAU
rnacentral:rRNA from 1 species